rfam:Enterococcus rivorum strain LMG 25899 4, whole genome shotgun sequence.
CCACAGCUACAACCGCACAGAACAAGUUAUGUUAAGUACCAUUCGUUUGAAGGGUCACUUGGGAUGGCGAGUCUAAGUUUAAAA